GAAAUGUGAGAAUGGAUAAUGUGUUUAGCUCAAUUGGUUAUUAUAUGGGAAGAAAUAUUUUCAUAAUCGAUUAUUAAAGGUUGUAAAGGAAAGUGGUGGAUGACGGUGGUUGACGAUAGUGGUAGAUAAAGGUGGUGUAAGACGGCCAAAGCGGUAGAUAUGAAGAAUCCGUUCAUCAACCUGCUUUGGCCCAUCCUUACCCGUUGGUCACCUGCCUCUUAUCCAUUCUAACCCGCUCUUCUAUGUCAAAAAUUUGUUCGAUGUCCACUUUGGCCCGUCAUUUACUUUUGCCAAACCCAAGAGAACCCAAAGGCAGAUAAUUUUGCUCAAAGCCGACCCAUAAACGCUAGUUCGGGUUGUGAUUGCCAGCCCUACUUGGGACGAUUGGGUAAACCCCAGCAAGGUGUGCAACAUGGUUAUGUUUUUAGGCUUCCCAUUAAAGAAGCUUUAAGAAUGCAAGUGCCAGUUCGGCUGAUUCUUUUGGAGGAUCAGUCUUUUUCUUUUUGUUUCGGGAAGGAUAUAUGUGUUGGAUGUCUGGAGUUUAUACAUAUAAAACUGAUAGCACAUCGUAGUUGAAAAUACAAAAUGCUCAACUUCGAUGAUAUCUGAAUGAAAUCUGGAAGAGUUAAUUACGUUUUUCGUCCCUGUGGUUUGUCAAAAAUCACUAUUUCAGUCCAUUAAUUUAAAAAUUGUCAUUUCAGUCCUUGUGGUUUCAGUUUCAUAACUAUUUCAGUCCAUCUCCGUCAAUUCCAUUCAUUUAUUCUGUUAAGUGUUGGUGAAAUGACUAAAUUGCCCCUACAAAACUUUUUUUCCCCAGCCCCCUAAUUCUUUAUUCACACUUUUCCCUCCUCCCUAAUUCUCUCCAGCCACCACUGUCGUCCCUGUGCCACAGCUCCACCGUUCUGCCGCCCCUGUGCCAGCUACCGACAUCCCCUCAGCCCCUGCUAGCUACCAUCGUUCUGGUAAUCUUUGCUCCGUUUGACCGACCCUUACAACCACCAUGUUUCCCCACCACCGUUUCCCCUCUAACGUGAGCUCCACCACCACCGUAUGAUACCACCACCACCAUUGUUAGAUCCCUUUUCAUGGAUUAAAGUUAGUGUUUCGUUCAUCACUAAUGGGUAACAAGAAGAAAACGCCAGCACCUAAGCCUCCUCGGAUUCAUUUUUUAAGAUCUGCUCAGAAAAAAG